GCCUGGGUGGCUCAGUCGGUUAAGCAUCCGACUUUGGCUCAGGUCAUGAUCUCACAGUUUGUAGGUUCAAGCCCUGCAUCAGGCU
rnacentral:tRNA from 1 species